UCCAAGGUGUCAGGUUCUCCUCUGCUCUGG
rnacentral:piRNA from 1 species